GAUUAAUGCUAGCGGCGUGCCUUAUGCAUGCAAGUCGAACGGUUCUGAUUUAUCAGGAUAGUGGCAAACGGGUGAGUAAUACGUAAGUAACCUGCCCCGAAGUAGGGAAUAAUUCUUCGAAAGAGGGACUAAUACCAUAUGUGGUGGCGCUUCAAAUGGAGUGUCAUCAAAGCUUUCGGGCGCUUUGGGAGGGCUUGCGUCCGAUUAGCUAGUUGGUGGGGUAACGGCCUACCAAGGCGAUGAUCGGUCGCUGGUUUGAGAGAAUGACCAGCCACACUGGGACUGAGACACGGCCCAGACACCUACGGGUGGCAG
rnacentral:rRNA from 1 species